rnacentral:lncRNA from 1 species
CUGGUUUCUGAGAACCUAAAAACCCAGGAGAAAGAUAUAAGGAGGCAAGGACGCUCAUUCUUCCAUAACCUAUAGGAAACCCAGUUUCAUCAUAAAUAUAUGAAAUCUCGGUAGCAUCCUCCAAAUCCAUAAGGAAGGGGGUAGACUGCUCUGAUGAAGCACAUCCAGUCCAUCAGCAGCCUGAAUGCUUUUGUAUCAAUAAGUAUUCCACCAGAUACCAGCUGAGCCAGUUCCCUCAAUUGUGAGAGACAUACUCCAUCAGUUUCUUCUCUAGCAAGGAAGACAACCAAGACCAAGAAGUCACAGAGUCUGAAUGGGUUAUGAAUUUUCUUUGUGUUUGGCAUC